GGAUGUGAGGCGAUUUGGCUGCGACAUCUGUCACCCCAUUGAUCGCCAGGAUUGAUUCGGCUGAUCUGGCUGGCUAGGCGGGUGUCCCCUUCCUCCCUCAGCGCUCCAUGUGCGUCCCUCCGGAAGCUGCGCGCUCGGUCGAAGAGGACAACCUUCCCCUAAUAGAGGAGGACCCGUCUUCGGUCAAGGGUAUACAAGUAGCUGCGCUCCCCUGCUAGAACCUCCAAACCUAAUCUAUGCCUCCUACUUUGUAUUCACCCAGGUGUGAUCUAUCUGAGUAGCUGGGAAAGAAGUUGGCAGUUU
rnacentral:snRNA from 1 species